UCUGGUGUCGAUGCGCUUAGGGGAAACACCCGUUCCCAUCCCGAACACGACGGUUAAGACCUAAGCGGCCGAUGGUACUGCAUUGGAGACGAUGUGGGAGAGCAGGUGGGCGCCAGAUU
rnacentral:rRNA from 1 species